AACUUUUGACAAUGGAUCUCUUGGUUCUGGCAUCGAUGAAGAACGCAGCGAAAUGCGAUAAGUAAUGUUAAUUGCAGAAUUCAGUGAAUCAUCGAAUCUUUGAACGCACAUUGCGCCCCUUGGUAUUCCGGGGGGCAUGCCGUUUCGAGCGUCAUUCCAACACUCACGCGUGGCUGGGUCUUGGGCUCUGCCGGCAACGCCUUGCCUUAAAAUCAUUGGCCGUGCGAUCAAGCUCUACGCGUAGUAAUAAUCCCCUCGCGGGUGAGUCGCGGCGGUCGCUUGCCAGCAACCCCCAAUUUUUUAUUGUUGACCUCGAAUCAGGUAGGGAUACCCGCUGAACUUAAGCAUAUCAAUAAGCGGAGGCU
rnacentral:misc_RNA from 1 species